UGCAAGUCGAGGGGAAACGACAUCGAAAGCUUGCUUUUGAUGGGCGUCGACCGGCGCACGGGUGAGUAACGCGUAUCCAACCUGCCCAUCACUUGGGGAUAACCUUGCGAAAGUAAGACUAAUACCCAAUGACAUCCCACGAAGGCAUCCGAAUGGGAUUAAAGAUUUAUCGGUGUACGAUGGGGAUGCGUUCCAUUAGGUAGUAGGCGGGGUAACGGCCCACCAAGGCGACGAUGGGUAGGGGUUCUGAGAGGAAGGUCCCCACAUUGGAACUGAGACACGGUCCAAACUCC
rnacentral:rRNA from 1 species